rnacentral:rRNA from 1 species
GAUGAACGCUGGCGGCGUGCCUAAUACAUGCAAGUCGAGCGAACGGACGAGAAGCUUGCUCCUCUGACGUUAGCGGCGGACGGGUGAGUAACACGUGGAUAACCUACCUAUAAGACUGGGAUAACUUCGGGAAACCGGAGCUAAUACCGGAUGAUAUAUUGAACCGCAUGGUUCAAUAGUGAAAGACGGUUUUGCUGUCACUUAUAGAUGGAUCCGCGCUGCAUUAGCUAGUUGGUAAGGUAACGGCUUACCAAGGCAACGAUGCGUAGCCGACCUGAGAGGGUGAUCGGCCACACUGGAACUGAGACACGGUCCAGACUCCUACGGGAGGCAGCAGUAGGGAAUCUUCCGCAAUGGGCGAAAGCCUGACGGAGCAACGCCGCGUGAGUGAUGAAGGUCUUCGGAUCGUAAAACUCUGUUAUUAGGGAAGAACAAAUGUGUAAGUAACUAUGCACGUCUUGACGGUACCUAAUCAGAAAGCCACGGCUAACUACGUG